GUAAUCUACCCUCGAAUUGGGGAUAACCCGCCGAAAGGCGGGCUAAUACCGGAUAAGACCACGGUGGCUUCGGCCACUGAGGUCAAAGAUGGCCUCUGCCUGCAAGCUGUCGUUUGAGGAUGAGCCCGCGUCCCAUUAGCUAGUUGGUGGGGUAAAAGCCUACCAAGGCGACGAUGGGUAGCUGGUCUGAGAGGAUGGCCAGCCACACUGGAACUGACACACGGUCCAGACUCCUACGGGAGGCAGCAGUGAGGAAUUUUGCGCAAUGGGGGAAACCCUGACGCAGCAACGCCGCGUGAGUGAUGAAGGCCUUCGGGUUGUAAAGCUCUGUCGAGUGGGAAGAAUUUUUUUCGGCUGAAUAAUCCGAGAAAUUGACGGUACCGCUGAAGGAAGCACCGGCUAACUCCGUGCCAGCAGCCCGCGGUAAUACGGAGGGUGCAAGCGUUAUUCGGAUUUAUUGGGCGUAAAGGGCGUGUA
rnacentral:rRNA from 1 species